CAGUUUUCUUCUCUGCCCUAAAAUCCUAAAUCUCGUCACUCCCUCACAUAUUCAAAAUCAGCCCUAAGAUGGUAAUUCAUUCGAUUCGAAGAAUCCCAAAAAAUCUUCGCGAAUUGAAGCUUUUUGGUAUCCCUUCAAUCCGAAUGCUCUGGGCGGGAGUACGCAGUGCCGUUUGAAUUGAAGUCACUUUGAUGUGAGGAGAGGUGUCUUGGCUCCUUUUAGGGUUUGCUAGAUGUUAGAGGGAAGGGGAGAGCUCGAAGAUCUAAGGAUUGGUUUGAGUUGAUUCUAAUUCUUGGAGAGGUCGCGAUGGAUUUGGAUUUUAAUGGUGACGUAGCUCCUGUAGCUCCAGGAGGUGUCUCCUUUGGCCAUCAAAGCUAAUUCGUAUGUUGCCAAGAAGCUCUUUGAUCAGUGGUUGUCGCUUCCUGAUACAACAUCCUUGGUUGGGACAAUCUCUGUAAAUGGGAAGAGA